rnacentral:lncRNA from 1 species
CAAGGGUCUCCUCCUUUCCCUCCCCUCCCUCCCUUUUUUUUUCUUUUCUUUUCUCUUCUCUUCUUUUCUUUUUGAGACAGAGUCUCACUCUGUCACCCAGGCUGGAGUGCAAUGGCAGGAUCUCGGCUCACUGCAACCUCUGCCUCCCAGGUUCAAGGAAUUCUCCUGCCUCAGACUCCAGAGUAGCUGGGAUCACAGGCACCCAACACCACACCCAGCUAUUUUUUUUUUUUUGUAUUUUUAGUAGAGAUGGGGUUUCACCAUGUUGGCCAGGCUGGUCUCUAUCUCCCGACCUCAAGUGGUCUGCCCACCUCAGCCUCUCAAAGUGCUGGGAUUACAGGCGUGAGCCACCACGCCCAGCCAGACCAUUCCUUUCUAAGGCACGAGUCAGGAUGGGCAUUUAUUGGAAAGGAUUUUCUUAUUCCAGUUAAUUUCCAGAUGCUGAAAUUUCAGGUAAAAUAAUAAGGGGCAAGUUCUGGGCUAUGAGUGAGUGAAUGAGUGUGUGUGUGUGGGGUCACACGUGUGUGUGCUCAGACUCAUUCAGGGUGGGAAUCUUUUGGGUCACAAAGGGGCCUCAUGGGCCUCUGCUUUCAGGAUGAGCUGGUUGUUCCGGCUUCUCAGCCUCCUCCUCUCCCUGUAGCCGAGUGAACGUAUUCUCCAGGACCUCUGUUUUCCUGGCAGCAUCUCCAGUGGGGAGCGGAAAGAGGAGGGGAGUCGGGAAGACCUGGGGAGGGGUCUGAGAGGGCAUUUGAAACAGGGGCUUCAUGUGGUGGAAGGGGGAAGCGGAAAGACCAUGGUGUUACUAUUAUUGUAGUUGCCAAUGACACCCCACCCCCACCCUACCCCCACCCCACCCCCACCCCCACACUACCCCCACGCUAUCCCCACCCCACCCCUGCCACUCUGCUGUGGCCCUUGUCAUUUAUCACUUAUUCUGCAACAGCCUCUAGACUGGGGUCCGCACCGACAGCCUUCCCCCUUCAGCCCCAGGGUCCCUGGACUCCCCUUGCUGGCGUGAUCUUGGGCCUAACAGAUAUUUUAGCCUUGUCUUUCACCGCCCCCUUGGCUUUUUGUUGCGAUUGAACACUAACCAUUCUGCAAACCUUCUCCUGGCCUCCUGGCCUCGGUGUUUCCCUUGCCAGCCUCUGCAGCCUUGGCUUGGCUCAUGCUGUCCACUUCCUCCCUCCUCUCCAGCCACACAAAUCUCCUUUCAGUCCUUGGACCAAGCAAGCUCAUUCCCACCUCUGCCCCGCACAGUGGAAGAUGUAAUAGGAGUCUGGCGUUUCUCUGCCUGAUGCCCCUUCCCACUAAUGACCAACCCCCCUCGUCCUGCCUAGCUCCCACCUCUCCGUGCAGCUGAACUUCCCGUCUGCUCCCUUAGCUCCCUGCCACUCUCUCCUUUCAUCUGCAUGUCUCCCUUCACAGAAUGUAAAACUGAAGUUUGAAAUUGUCAGUAAUUUCUCCUUCUUCACAUGACAAUGAACUCCUUGAGGGCAAGGCGAAUCCUCAUUCACUGUAGGCCUACCAGUAUUUGGCCUUUAGCAAGCACUUAAUAAAACAUCUCUUGAGUAAAAAUGAUCUCUUUCUUACUGGCCUGAGAGUCCCUAAGAGGCAAGACCCACCUCUGCAUCACCAGGCUAUCCCCCACAGUACCCAUCUCAUAGGCUGUCCAUAAAUGCUUAGUAAAUUGAAUUUCAGUGAUGCCACAGCUGGGGAGAGUCAUCAACAGUGUCUUCUAUUGCUAAACACCUCCCUGCUUGCAAAAAACUUCCAGGCUGUCUUGGGUAGCAACCAUUCUUGGUUUUCAAAGGUGAAAAGCAAUUUGCCACAAGCAGAGAAUGACAAAUACUCAGGAUGGAAGAAGAAGGGAGGGAAGCAAUUAUGGGAGGCGGGAGGGAGGGGAGAGCAGGCUGUGAACCCUCUCUCUUGAGUGAGAAGGAAAACAAAGAAAGGUUCUUCUCAGAAAAUCCCAUUGGCUCUUUAAGGGACCAGGAAACCACUUUUGUCCUCUUUUCCCUGUGAAGUCUCAGGAUCUGUGAGCACAAAGCCUGGAGGUGCCGGCAGGGACCUUGUGAGUCACCAGAGGGAGAACCUCGCAUGGUUCAAAAUGUAAGGAGACAGAUGAAACACACACAGAAACAAACAAGAAGACAUCAGAGAGUGCUCUAAAGAAAAUUAGCUUGAGGCAGUGAUGCAGAGAGAGCUCAGUCAGGAAAGGCCUCCUGGAGGAGGCAACAUCUGAGCGGAGGUGGAGAUGCUCCGAGGAGCUGGCUGCAGAGACAUGAAGAGCAUCCCAGGCAGAGGGCACAGCACUGGCUCCAAGGUCUGAAGAGGGAGGAGAGAGAGAACCACGUCAGGUCCUGUGAGAUACUGUCCUUCACUUCUUCCGGGUGACAUCUGAGCACCUGCAGCCCUUCCCAUGCACAUCCAUUGUGGUUCAGAUGAAAACAGGAUGAAAUGUAACCUGGUCUGAUGACAUUAAUUUGCCUGAAGGAGCCCAGCACCCUGUCAUUUAGAGCUGCAUUUUCCUGGGGGCCUGGGCUGGGCCCCCUUUUAAGAUGAAGGCUGCUCCUCCACCCUCCUGACACUUGGUUGCUGGUUUUCCUCACACCUGCAGCCAGUCCACAGCUGGCCGCCUGCUGGCCUAGCUCCAGGCCGAUGGGGUGGCUGGACAGGCAGGGAGCUGCACGCAGCUUUGCAGUUCCAGCCUCAAGAGUGACGGCAGCCUCCCUAGGUACGGGCCACUGCCUGGCACUUUCCUCCCCUCCUGCCUCGGGUGGCUAGGGUGUGGAUUUUGGCCGGUGAACGCCACGCAUCAAACUCGUGUGUGGCAGCUGGGGGACCACCCAGCCCUAAGCAGUCGGCCCACCGCAUUUCAGGGUGGGUUGUUUUCUUGCUCGGACUUGUUUUUCCUGGCACUGCAAAGGUCACAUGCUUACUUCGUGGCAGUAAGUGUGAGGCGCCCCCGUGGGCUCUUAGCGAGGGUAAAGAGAUGCUUUUUUUUUUUUUUUUUGCAUACGCAGAAAGUUACGUGGGAACAGAACCAUGUAUAACCCAUUAAACUGCCUGUCCUGAUGGACGCCCAGGCCGCUCCUACAUGUCGAUAAUGUGUACAAGAUGUGUAGCGCUUGGGGCGGCACCAGCAGACGCUCUGGCCAAGCACUUAUGUUCUAAAUAACCCUCUUAGGCAGCACUUGCUAAUUAAUACCAGGGAUAACCUCACAGCCCGCGGUGAACAGAGAAGCCUGGAAUCUCCAGGAAGUGGGAGGAUCCUCUGAUAUCCUUAACUCGUGAUCUCCUUUCCAGAAUCACCUCCCCACAACCAUGUGUGUCCAAUCUAGCACGGACACUUCUAGUGACCGGAGGUGUGCCGGCCAAGGAUCAGUCCGUCCUCUGUUGGAAAGUUCCUAUAGCAGUCAAAAUCUGCCCUCCAUAGACGUUUGCUCUAGGGCCCUCAUCAGACCCUUUGGGGUCAGAUAGAGUCCAAUCCCUUCUUGUAGGACUGCCCUUGGCUAUUGGAAGAUAGUUCUCACCAUCAGGGUUGAACCACCUGACACGGUUCUCCUGCACCUGGUUUUGACCCCCUUCCCCAUUCUAUCCAAGCUCCAUUUACUUUCCUAGAAACAUGGUUCCCUCGGUUUGCUCUGAGUAGCCCACAGGGAGAGCGGGACAGGAGAGUGCCUCGCUUCCUCUGAGCGGUGGGCAGUUCUCUCCAUUAAGUAAGAGAAUGAGAGGUGAGCUCCAGGCCCCCUACAGCUCCCUACUGGGGCUCUGCUCGGGGUCAUCCACUUGUCCUGCCCUCGGGUGGGCAGACACCAACUCUGUCAACCACAACGGGCCUGGCCGGGCUGCUCGUUGGGCCUCCAGGGAUGCCUGAGGACAGCUCCAAUCUGCGGGCCAGUGACUUACACCCUCCCUGGCCUUCAUUUCUCCUCAUAUGUGAAAUUGAAUUAUGAAACCAGGUCAAUAAGAUUUUAUGAAACCCUAGUAGGGAGAGGCUGGGCGUGGUGGCUCAUGCCUGUAAUCCCAGCACUUUAGGAGGCCGAGGCGGGCAGAUACCUGAGGUUAGGAGUUCGAGACCAGCCUGGCCAACAUGUUGAAACCCUGUCUCUACAAAAAUACAAAAAAUUAGCCGGGCAUGGUGGCGGGUGCCUGUAAUCCUAGCUACUCGGGAGGCUGAGGCAGGAGAAUCAUUUGAACUUGGGAGGGGGAGGUUGCAGUGAGCCAAGAUCACACCAUUGCACUCCAGCCUGGGAGACAAAG